CCUACGGGGGGCAGCAGUGAGGAAUAUUGGUCAAUGGCCGGAAGGCUGAACCAGCCAAGCCGCGUGAAGGACGAAGGUGCCAAGCAUUGUAAACUUCUUUUGUCAAGGGACAAAAUCAGGCUCGAGAGCCUGACCGAGGGUACUUGAAGAAAAAGCAUCGGCACACUCCGUGCCAGCAGCAGCGGUAAUACGGAGGAGGCGAGCGUUAUCCGGAGGUAUUGGGUGAAAAGGGUGCGUAGGCGGACUGUUAAGUCAGCGGUAAAAGCCCGGGGCUCAACCCCGGCGAGCCGUUGAUACUGGCUGUCUUGAGAUGUCGAGCGGUAUGCGGAAUGCGCCGUGUAGCGGUGAACUUCUUAGAUAUUGCGCAGAACUCCGAUUGCGAAGGCAGCAUACCGGCGGCGAUCUGACGCUGAGGCACGAAAGCGUGGGUAUCGAACAGGAUUAGAUACCCCAGUAGUC
rnacentral:rRNA from 1 species